rnacentral:tRNA from 1 species
GAGGAUAUACCUCAGUGGUAGAGCACAUGCUUAGAAUGCAUGAGGUCCUAGGUUCAGUCCCCAGUACCUCCA